rnacentral:rRNA from 1 species
CUACGGGGGGCAGCAGUGGGGAAUCUUGGACAAUGGGCGCAAGCCUGAUCCAGCCAUGCCGCGUGAGUGAAGAAGGCCUUAGGGUCGUAAAGCUCUUUCGCCAGAGAUGAUAAUGACAGUAUCUGGUAAAGAAACCCCGGCUAACUCCGUGCCAGCAGCCGCGGUAAUACGGAGGGGGUUAGCGUUGUUCGGAAUUACUGGGCGUAAAGCGCGCGUAGGCGGAUUAGUCAGUCAGAGGUGAAAUCCCAGGGCUCAACCCUGGAACUGCCUUUGAUACUGCUAGUCUUGAGUUCGAGAGAGGUGAGUGGAAUUCCGAGUGUAGGGGUGAAAUUCGUAGAUAUUCGGAGGAACACCAGUGGCGAAGGCGGCUCACUGGCUCGAUACUGACGCUGAGGUGCGAAAGUGUGGGGAGCAAACAGGAUUAGAUACCCCGGUAGUC